GGAAAAGUCAGUGACGUCAUCACUUUCAGUUCUUAUUAUUAGUCAAUUGCUUUUAUAGCCAAAACAAUUGACCAGUGGAAAGCCGCCAAUUCAGGUAUUUGACCAACAGCAAGCCAGGCAAGGCAGCAACUGUGAUGUUUCCAGUUCAUUUCAUUUUGUCGCUUGUCUAUCUGUACAAAAGUACUUAUAUAAUCUUUAUUGUGUGAUUUAUACAAAUAGUAUGUGCACAAUUUUCUUACAACUAAGACCUAAUACUAAACUCCUGAAUGCUGUACGGACAGGAUUCAACCAAUGCGUCCUUCAGUGCGGGUUUAAAUUCGUUGUUAGAUAGGGUUUUGAACCUAGAUGGAAGUUUGUUAUAUAUAGUAAUACCAGCACUGAGAUACGAUUUAUGGAACAUCUUUUCCCGACUUGUAACAAUGUUUUCACGAUGACGAGUGUUAUAUUGGUGGAAGUUUGAGUGUCUGGGAAGAGAGUCCUGUAUCUUGUGAAUAAGGACGCAUGAGUCUAAGAUAACCUGUCCGUACAUUGUCAAAAUCCCCUUUUCCUUAAAUAGCAGCCUACUAGAAUCACGCCUACUCAGGCCAAAUACGGUCAUUAGUGCCC
rnacentral:lncRNA from 1 species